rnacentral:rRNA from 1 species
GACAGAGGAUGCAAGCGUUGUUCGGAAUGAUUGGGCGUAAAGGAUGAGUAGGUGGUUUUUUAAGUCAAUGGUUAAAUCUUCGGGCACAACCCGAUUCUGCUAUUGAUACUGAAAAACUAGAGUGGGAUACAGGAAAAUGGAAUUCCUAGUUGAGGGGUGAAAUCCGUAGACAUUAGGAGGAACGCCAAAGGCGAAAGCAGUUUUCUGGUACCUUUCUGACACUGAGUCAUGAAAGCGUGGGGAGCAAACAGG